rnacentral:rRNA from 1 species
GACGAACGCUGGCGGCGUGCUUAACACAUGCAAGUCGAACGGAAAGGCCCUGCUUGCAGGGUACUCGAGUGGCGAACGGGUGAGUAACACGUGGGUGAUCUGCCCUGCACUUCGGGAUAAGCCUGGGAAACUGGGUCUAAUACCGGAUAGGAGCCAUUUUUAGUGUGAUGGUUGGAAAGUUUUUUCGGUGUAGGAUGAGCUCGCGGCCUAUCAGCUUGUUGGUGGGUAAUGGCCUACCAAGGCGGCGACGGGUAGCCGGCCUGAGAGGGUGGACGGCCACAUUGGGACUGAGAUACGGCCCAGACUCCUACGGGAGGCAGCAGUGGGGAAUAUUGCACAAUGGGCGCAAGCCUGAUGCAGCGACGCCGCGUGGGGGAUGACGGCCUUCGGGUUGUAAACUCCUUUCGCUAGGGACGAAGCUUUUGUGACGGUACCUAGAGAAGAAGCACCGGCUAACUACGUG